ACACAGGAAGCUUUCACCACCUCCACAUCUGUGCUUAGGAAACAAGAAGGAAAUAUGACUUUGAAUGACAUCUUGAAUAAAUAAAUAAUACAUGAUUUUGUUUGAAUACUCAAUUCUGAUUGGUAAAUGUGGACAUUUCAGAGGUUAAUACUCGCUAACACAACUCUGCUAAGGAUCUAGUGACCCUUAGCAGAGGUGUGCUAAGAAUGAUAAAGGGACUACGUGCAGUCCUAUCAAUCCGCAGAAAGAAGUCCGGCCGGUAUAACGUCAGCUGUGGACAACAAACAUUAGAUUGCCUUGUCAGAAAACACAGUGGAAUACUUUUUUAAUAUUCAUUUUUAUAUUUGUGGAGAGCACCAAACGUUGGAUUCUUGAAGGCUAAACUCUCCCGUAAAGAAAAGAAAAAGAGAACAAGAGAAGGAAAGAGGCGUCGGGAUCCAUGAUUAUUCUGCCAGAACUAGAGUAUGAUGUACUCAGGUAGAAGUACCGAAGUGUAGGAAUACUCUGUUACAAGUAAAAGCCCUGCUUAAUGUUACUCAAUCACAAAAAUAAAUGUAUUAGCAUCAAAAUAUACAUAAAAUAUCAAAAGUAAAAGUAUCAUUAUGCAGAUUUCAGAAUGAUAUAGUAUAUGUUUUGAUUGUAAUGUUUAUCAAAGCUUGUAAUGUGUAGCUAGUUUUAAUUACUUUGAGGCUGAAGCUUGUGAUUUUACUCCAGGUUUCAUUUUUUGUUUUUGUUGACUAUUUCACAUCAUUAAUCCAAUUCUGAAAAUGUACUAAAGGUACUAAAUAAAUGUAAUGGAGUACAUGAUUUAACUCUGAAAGAUAGAUAGAUAGAUAGGUACUUUAUUGAUCCCAAUUUGGGAAAUGUUUGCGUUGCAGCAGCAUAAAAAACACAAGGCAAUGUACAUAAGAAAAAUUAAGACACAGAAAUAGUCCAAAAUAUUUCAGAAAUAGAAAUAAAAUAGCAUAAAAAAGUUACAAGUUAAAAAAAAAAAAUAUAUAUACAUACAUGUGGAAAAUAUACAUGUGGAAAUGUCCAGUAACACAUAUAAUGCAGGAUAUUAUUUAGCAAGAAUGGAUUAUUCAAUAUGAAAUAUAAUGUGAAUGUAAAAUGUACAGUGGGAGUUGAAGUCCAGUUAUUAAGAGAAGCUAUGGAGCAGAGAGUUCUCUGCCAGCCAGAGGGGAUUUGUUAUAGAGAGUUAUUGCAGUGGGCAGGAAUGUUUUCCUGUAUCUGUCCUUGUGACAGCGGAGCUGCAGAAGUCUGUUGGAGAAGGAGCUCCGCUGGCCAUAAUUACACAUUCAAAUGAGAAGACACUUGAUUUUUGGAGAUACACUGAUGUUGUUAAUCAUCAGUGAAUUGUGUAGGAACACCCUGUGGCCGCAGGGUAGAGCUGUUUCUCAGCAACACUUGGAUACAACAUCGCAUCUCCAGGCCCAGAACACAUUACCUCCAGCAGUUUAAGCUUCUAGUUUCAGUGUUUCAGUACAAAUGCAGCGCUGCACACCAAAGAUGGCUUCCACCCUCAGGUGAAGGCUGCCUGCCAGGUUCAGAGGACGGACUCAGUGAGGUGAGAUCAGAGGGGGGGGAUAAGAAAACACAAGUUCCCCCAUCCUGCAACACUGUUUAAAGUAAAUUAGUUAGUAAGGGCAGGGCACUUUAAGUCACGCUAUGUCUGCUGACCUCGACCCUCACUUCUAAACUAUGUUGAUCUGGAGUGUCUCUGUAAUAGAUAAGGCCGGUGAUAUUUCUUAAAGGUGGGGUAGGUUGACUAUGCUUGCACGUCAUGGUACCAUAGCACCUCCAAGGCGCUAAAAAUAAAAUUUCAAACAUC